rnacentral:rRNA from 1 species
AGUGAACGCUGGCGGUAGGCCUAACACAUGCAAGUCGAACGGCAGCACAGUAAGAGCUUGCUCUUACGGGUGGCGAGUGGCGGACGGGUGAGGAAUACAUCGGAAUCUACUUUUUCGUGGGGGAUAACGUAGGGAAACUUACGCUAAUACCGCAUACGACCUACGGGUGAAAGCAGGGGAUCUUCGGACCUUGCGCGAUUGAAUGAGCCGAUGUCGGAUUAGCUAGUUGGGGGGGUAAAGGCCCACCAAGGCGACGAUCCGUAGCUGGUCUGAGAGGAUGAUCAGCCACACUGGAACUGAGACACGGUCCAGACUCCUACGGGAGGCAGCAGUGGGGAAUAUUGGACAAAGGGCGCAAGCCUGAUCCAGCCAUACCGCGUGGGUGAAGAAGGCCUUCGGGUUGUAAAGCCCUUUUGUUGGGAAAGAAAAGCAGCAGGUUAAUACCCCGCUGUUCUGACGGUACCCAAAGAAUAAGCACCGGCUAACUUCGUG